GACAGAGGGUGCAAACGUUGCUCGGAAUGACUGGGCGUAAAGGGUGCGUAGGCGGCGCGGUAAGUCGGGUGUGAAAUCUCGGAGCUUAACUCCGAAACUGCAUUCGAUACUGCCGUGCUUGAGGACUGGAGAGGAGACUGGAAUUUACGGUGUAGCGGUGAAAUGCGUAGAUAUCGUAAGGAAGACCAGUGGCGAAGGCGGGUCUCUGGACAGUUCCUGACGCUGAGGCACGAAGGUCAGGGGAGCAAACGGG
rnacentral:rRNA from 1 species